rnacentral:rRNA from 1 species
UACGAAGGGUGCAAGCGUUAAUCGGAAUUACUGGGCGUAAAGCGUGCGUAGAUGGUUCAUUAAGUCGGAUGUGAAAGCCCCGGGCUCAACCUGGGAAUGGCAUCCGAUACUGGUGGACUAGAGUGCGGUAGAGGAGAGCGGAAUUCCCGGUGUAGCGGUGAAAUGCGUAGAGAUCGGGAGGAACAUCCGUGGCGAAGGCG